rnacentral:rRNA from 1 species
GACGGAGGAUGCAAGUGUUAUCCGGAAUCACUGGGCGUAAAGCGUCUGUAGGUUGUUUAAAAAAGUCUGCAGUUAAAGGUUGAAGCUUAACUUCAAAAAAUGCCGUAGAAAACUUUUUAAACUAGAGGAUGGUAGGGGUAGAGGGAAUUUCCAGUGGAGCGGUGAAAUGUGUAGAUAUUGGAAAGACCACCAAUGGCGAAGGCACUCUACUGGGCCAUUACUGACACUGAGAGACGAAAGCUAGGGGAGCAAAUGGGAUUAG